UGGGGAAUCUUGCGCAAUGGUCUAACGACUGACGCAGCGACGCCGCGUGUGGGAGGACGCUCUUCGGGGUGUAAACCACUGUUGCCCGGGACGAAUAGCAUCAUUCGUGGUGCCUGACGGUACCGGGUGAGGAAGCACCGGCUAACUCUGUGCCAGCAGCCGCGGUAAUACAGAGGGUGCGAGCGUUGUCCGGAAUCACUGGGCGUAAAGGGCGCGUAGGCGGCCUGGUAAGCGUGCGGUGAAAGCCCGGGGCUCAACCCCGGGUCGGCCGUGCGAACUGGUGGACUGGAGCUUGUCAGAGGCAGGCGGAAUUCCGGGUGUAGCGGUGGAAUGCGUAGAGAUCCGGAAGAACACCGGUGGCGAAGGCGGCCUGCUGGGACAGUGCUGACGCUGAAGCGCGACAGCGUGGGGAGCAAACA
rnacentral:rRNA from 1 species